CUUAGAAAGUUGAUGGAAUUCUAUAGCUGUUAUCAACUAUAUUUCAGUUGUGACUGUUGAGUUUGGGUUUUGCAUUUUGAGAAAAUUUCCAUGUUCAGAUUUCUUAGUUUUCUUUUUUAACAUUUGUGAAGUAAUUGCGUGAAAUAACUUAAAAAAAUCUUUCCAGAGUUCUCUGCCAAAAAUAUCUGAGCAACUUUUCCCACUCUUGCAUUCCUACAGGUCUUUCUUCAGAGCUGAUGAGUUACUCAUUUGCCCUAGGACAGGGCUACGUGACAAGGUAAACAUACUAUGGUUUUUGAGAGGUAUUAAUUCAUACUAUUUUGGGAUUAUAUAAAAAAUACAAUGUACAUCACAGUAUUUCUAUAUAGUAAUUGUCUCACAAAAUAUGUCUAUAUAGUAUAAGAAAAAUUACUACAAAAAUCUCAACAUGGGGGAUAUUCUAAUAUGAGCCUUGGGGCAAGUAUUUUGGGAUAGACUAAAAUAUAUACAGUAUAUAGAUGUUGUAUAAUAUUAAUUUACAUAUUCAUAGUAUGUAUAAUAAACACUGAGCUGUGAACAAGAUAAUACUCUAUAUGUCUUAUAUUCCAUUAAAAGUAAAGAAGAGCCUCAUUCAGUCCUCAAAGGAUAGGAGAGAUUUGCUACUAAUGCCCUUAUAAAUGCUGACAAUCAGGCUGACUUUAAGCUUUGACCUAAAGGGUAGUGUCUCUGCCCUAACAACUAAGGAAGCAAUUUCAGUUGGGACAACCAGAACCCCAAAGGAAAGCCACGCCUGUUCUUCAAGGGAAAAACAGAUGAGGACUAACAUGAUGGACUUUCUCUCAUAACCAUUGUCUUUUUUUCCCCUUCUGUAAUUAUUCAAACAUAGGCGGUCCCAAACCUGUAAGUUCACAGAGUUCACUUAUCAAGAGAACUGUUGGAACUCAGAACAUAAUGUUCCAUAAAAUCAAUGUUAUGCUGCUGGUUUCUAAGGUGCAUGAAUUUUGUUUUUUGUUUUGUUUUGUUUUGUUUUUCUGCCUAAACCCCUCCCUUUGUCUACUGUUGACAGUACCCCUUUCUCUCACUCUGUGGGUCUCUGAGAGUGCCUCCAAACCCCUUGAUCUCCAGUUGUUUGGUCAAAGUUUAGUAAUUAGUCAAAGGAGUGGACACAAUUCAAGUUGGGGCAACCACAGUAGCUCCCUGC
rnacentral:lncRNA from 10 species